rnacentral:rRNA from 1 species
CGCGUAGGCGGACCUUCAAGUCGGAUGUGAAAUCUUGCAGCUCAACUGCAAGCCUGCAUUCGAAACUGGCGGUCUUGAGUACAGUAGAGGAAAGCGGAAUUCCAGGUGUAGCGGUGAAAUGCGUAGAUAUCUGGAAGAACACCAGUAGCGAAGGCGGCUUCCUGGGCUGAUACUGACGCUGAAGCGCGAAGGCUUGGGUAGCAAACAGGAUUAGAUACCCUGGUAGUCC